AUUGAACGCUGGCGGCAGGCCUAACACAUGCCAGUCGAGCGAGCGGCGGACGGGUGAGUAAUGUAUGGGGACUGCCCGAUAGAGGGGGCUAGCUACGGGUAACGGUGGCUAAUACCGCAUACUCUCGGAUAACCCAUAUGUGAUUAGCUAGUAGGUGGGGUACAUGCUAACCUAGGCGACGAUCUCUAGCUGGUCGGAGAGGAUGAUCAGCCACACUGGGACUGAGACACGGCCCAGCCUCCUGCGGAGGCAGCAGUGGGGAAUAUUGCACAAUGGGCGCAAGCCUGAUGCAGCCAUGCCGCGUGUAUGAAGAAGGCCUUAGGGUUGUAAAGUAUUUUCAGCGUGGAGGCGUUACCCGCAGAAGAAGAACCGGCUAACUCCGUGCCAGCAGCCGCGGUAAUAC
rnacentral:rRNA from 1 species